rnacentral:rRNA from 1 species
AGAGUUUGAUCCUGGCUCAGGAUGAACGCUAGCUACAGGCUUAACACAUGCAAGUCGAGGGGCAGCAUGACGGAAGCUUGCUUCCGUUGAUGGCGACCGGCGCACGGGUGAGUAACGCGUAUCCAACCUGCCCUUGUCCAUCGGAUAACCCGUCGAAAGGCGGACUAACACGAUAUGCAGUCCACAGCAGGCAUCUAACGUGGACGAAAUGCGAAGGAGAAGGAUGGGGAUGCGUCUGAUUAGCUUGUUGGCGGGGUAACGGCCCACCAAGGCGACGAUCAGUAGGGGUUCUGAGAGGAAGGUCCCCCACAUUGGAACUGAGACACGGUCCAAACUCCUACGGGAGGCAGCAGUGAGGAAUAUUGGUCAAUGGGCGAGAGCCUGAACCAGCCAAGUAGCGUGCAGGAAGACGGCCCUAUGGGUUGUAAACUGCUUUUAUACGGGGAUAAAGUGGGCCACGUGUGGCUUAUUGCAGGUACCGUAUGAAUAAGGACCGGCUAAUUCCGUGCCAGCAGCCGCGGUAAUACGGAAGGUCCGGGCGUUAUCCGGAUUUAUUGGGUUUAAAGGGAGCGUAGGCCGUCUGUUAAGCGUGUUGUGAAAUGUCGGGGCUCAACCUGGGCAUUGCAGCGCGAACUGGCAGACUUGAGUGCGCAGGAAGUAGGCGGAAUUCGUCGUGUAGCGGUGAAAUGCUUAGAUAUGACGAAGAACUCCGAUUGCGAAGGCAGCCUGCUGUAGCGUAACUGACGCUGAAGCUCGAAAGCGUGGGUAUCGAACAGGAUUAGAUACCCUGGUAGUCCACGCGGUAAACGAUGGAUGCUCGCUGUUUGCGUCUGACGUAAGCGGCCAAGCGAAAGCGUUAAGCAUCCCA